rnacentral:rRNA from 1 species
GCAAAACGCGAAGAACCUUACCCACCUUUGACAUGUACGGAAUCCUUUAGAGAUAGAGGAGUGCUCGAAAGAGAGCCGUAACACAGGUGCUGCAUGGCUGUCGUCAGCUCGUGUCGUGAGAUGUUGGGUUAAGUCCCGCAACGAGCGCAACCCUUGCCAUUAGUUGCUACGAAAGGGCACUCUAAUGGGACUGCCGGUGACAAACCGGAGGAAGGUGGGGAUGACGUCAAGUCCUCAUGGCCCUUAUAGGUGGGGCUACACACGUCAUACAAUGGCUGGUACAAAGGGUUGCCAACCCGCGAGGGGGAGCUAAUCCCAUAAAGCCAGUCGUAGUCCGGAUCGCAGUCUGCAACUCGACUGCGUGAAGUCGGAAUCGCUAGUAAUCGUGGAUCAGCAUGCCACGGUGAAUACGUUCCCGGGUCUUGUACACACCGAGUCUUGUACACACCGGGUCUUGUACACAC